rnacentral:rRNA from 1 species
UAGAGUUUGAUCACGGCUCAGAUUGAACGCUGGCGGCAGGCCUAACACAUGCAAGUCGAACGGUAGCACAGAGAGCUUGCUCUCGGGUGACGAGUGGCGGACGGGUGAGUAAUGUCUGGGAAACUGCCCGAUGGAGGGGGAUAACUACUGGAAACGGUAGCUAAUACCGCAUAACGUCGCAAGACCAAAGUGGGGGACCUUCGGGCCUCACACCAUCGGAUGUGCCCAGAUGGGAUUAGCUAGUAGGUGGGGUAACGGCUCACCUAGGCGACGAUCCCUAGCUGGUCUGAGAGGAUGACCAGCCACACUGGAACUGAGACACGGUCCAGACUCCUACGGGAGGCAGCAGUGGGGAAUAUUGCACAAUGGGCGCAAGCCUGAUGCAGCCAUGCCGCGUGUAUGAAGAAGGCCUUCGGGUUGUAAAGUACUUUCAGCGAGGAGGAAGGCGUUGUGGUUAAUAACCACAGCGAUUGACGUUACUCGCAGAAGAAGCACCGGCUAACUCCGUGCCAGCAGCCGCGGUAAUACA